UCGGGAAUAUUGCGCAAUGGAGGAAACUCUGACGCAGUGACGCCGCGUAUAGGAAGAAGUUUUUCGGAAUGUAAACUAUUGUCGUUAGGGAAGAGAAAGGACAGUACCUAAGGAGGAAGCUCCGGCUAACUACGUGCCAGCAGCCGCGGUAAUACGUAGGGAGCGAGCGUCAUCCGGAAUUAUUGGGUGUAAAGGGUGCGUAGACGGGAGAACAAGUUAGUUGUGAAAUCCCUCGGCUUAACUGAGGAACUGCAACUAAAACUAUUUUUACUUGAGUGCAGGAGAGGUAAGUGGAAUUCCUAGUGUAGCGGUGAAAUGCGUAGAUAUUAGGAGGAACACCAGUGGCGGAGGCGACUUACUGGACUGUAACUGACGUUGAGGCACGAAAGUGUGGGGAGCAAACAGGAUUAGAUACCC
rnacentral:rRNA from 1 species